rnacentral:rRNA from 1 species
GGAAAAGGAUUUAUUCGCUUCAGGAUGGACUCGCGUCCAAUUAGCUAGUUGGUGAGGUAACGGCCCACCAAGGCGACGAUUGGUAGCCGGACUGAGAGGUUGAACGGCCACAUUGGGACUGAGACACGGCCCAGACUCCUACGGGAGGCAGCAGUGGGGGAUAUUGCACAAUGGGGGAAACCCUGAUGCAGCGACGCCGCGUGGAGGAAGAAGGUUUUCGGAUUGUAAACUCCUGUCGUUAGGGACGAUAAUGACGGUACCUAACAAGAAAGCACCGGCUAACUACGUGCCAGCAGCCGCGGUAAAACGUAGGGUGCAAGCGUUGUCCGGAAUUACUGGGUGUAAAGGGAGCGCAGGCGGACCGGCAAGUUGGAAGUGAAAACUAUGGGCUCAACCCAUAAAUUGCUUUCAAAACUGCUGGCCUUGAGUAGUGCAGAGGUAGGUGGAAUUCCCGGUGUAGCGGUGGAAUGCGUAGAUAUCGGGAGGAACACCAGUGGCGAAGGCGACCUACUGGGCACCAACUGACGCUGAGGCUCGAAAGCAUGGGUAGCAAACAGGAUUAGAUACCCUGGUAGUCCAUGCCGUAAACGAUGAUUACUAGGUGUUGGAGGAUUGACCCCUUCAGUGCCGCAGUUAACACAAUAAGUAAUCCACCUGGGGAGUACGACCGCAAGGUUGAAACUCAAAGGAAUUGACGGGGGCCCGCACAAGCAGUGGAGUAUGUGGUUUAAUUCGAAGCAACGCGAAGAACCUUACCAGGUCUUGACAUCCGAUGCAUAGCGCAGAGAUGCGUGAAGUCCUUCGGGACAUCGAGACAGGUGGUGCAUGGUUGUCGUCAGCUCGUGUCGUGAGAUGUUGGGUUAAGUCCCGCAACGAGCGCAACCCUUAUUGCCAGUUACUACGAAAGAGGACUCUGGCGAGACUGCCGUUGACAAAACGGAGGAAGGUGGGGAUGACGUCAAAUCAUCAUGCCCUUUAUGACCUGGGCUACACACGUACUACAAUGGCGUUUAACAAAGAGAAGCAAGACCGCGAGGUGGAGCAAAACUCAAAAACAACGUCUCAGUUCAGAUUGCAGGCUGCAACUCGCCUGCAUGAAGUCGGAAUUGCUAGUAAUCGCGGAUCAGCAUGCCGCGGUGAAUACGUUCCCGGGCCUUGUACACACCGCCCGUCACACCAUGAGAGCCGGGGGGACCCGAAGUCGGUAGUCUAACCGUAUAGCUCAGUUGGGAGAGCACCUGCUUUGCAAGCAGGGGGUCAAGGGUUCGAAUC